CGGAGGGGCACCUGCGUGCACGGGGACGGGCGGCGGAAUCGGCUUCGGGGGCGAAGUCGACGGGGGCUGCUGCGAGCGUGCAGCGAAGGAGGGCGUGGGUGCGAUGGCGCCCGUCUGUGCGUUGUACGGCGUCGUGGACGGCAUCGGAGAUGGCGCGGGGGAGGGGAGGACAUACGUCGGAUACGGGCCGAGGCCCUUGAAG
rnacentral:misc_RNA from 1 species